rnacentral:rRNA from 1 species
AUUGAACGCUGGCGGCAGGCUUAACACAUGCAAGUCGAGCGGGGUGAUGGUGCUUGCACUAUCACUUAGCGGCGGACGGGUGAGUAAUGCUUAGGAAUCUGCCUAUUAGUGGGGGAACACAUCUCGACAGGGAUGCUAAUACCGCAUACGUCCUCUGGGAGAAAGCAGGGGCUCACUUGUGACCUUGCGCUAAUAGAUGAGCCUCAGUCGGAUUAGCUAGUUGGUGGGGUAAAGGCCUACCAAGGCGACGAUCUGUAGCGGGUCGGAGAGGAUGAUCCGCCACACUGGGACUGAGACACGGCCCAGACUCCUACGGGAGGCAGCAGUGGGGAAUAUUGGACAAUGGGGGGAACCCUGAUCCAGCCAUGCCGCGUGUGUGAAGAAGGCCUUAUGGUUGUAAAGCACUUUAAGCGAGGAGGAGGCUCUUUUGGUUAAUACCCAAGAUGAGUGGACGUUACUCGCAGAAUAAGCACCGGCUAACUCUGUGCCAGCAGCCGCCGCCG